GGUAAAUGGUAUUAUAUAGGGUAUAGGGUAUUCUAUAGGGUAAAUGGUAUUAUAUAGGGUAUAGGGUAUUCUAUAGGGUUUAGGGCAGGUAUUCCCAAUGUCGUCAGGGUACGCCAAAUACAAAUGUGAUUCACAUCAAAAAAAUAUAAUAAUAAUAAAAAUAUUCACAUUUUCAAAUUGUCCCUUUUAUAUUUUCCAACGGGGCUAUACAUUUGGCUGAGGUUUUUUUCUCACCUGAGUAGCCUCGUUUCACUGCCGAAAAUAAAAUGAAACCAUCUAGUGUUCACAUCACAUCACAUCACAUUAACGCUCUCACAGGAAUUCCACUAACGAUCUGUAUGUAGCCAAACGUAGCUGCUGCUCAUUCUGUUUGCUCGAAAAUUGAUAAAUUGUUCAAAGUAUGGCCUGCGUCCAUAGUAUUGCUACUACCAGCAGUACUACACCUGCACCUGUCGACAACACAAGAUGUUCUGCUUCCACGAGCACAUCCAAUGCUAGCAUCAGUAAUUAUACAUUUGUUGUUAGUCCAGCUAACAUGGACACUGACAGUUGUGAAUCUGAUGGAGCCGAAGAACUACUGCCUCCUUACCCGGGAAAGCACCAAGCUACUGCCUCCUUACCCGGGAAAGCACCAAGCUACUGCCUCCUUACCCGGGAAAGCACCAAGCUACUGCCUCCUUACCCGGGAAAGCACCAAGCUACUGCCUCCUUACCCGGGAAAGCACCGAACAACAGACAGGGACGUUGGACCAUCGAAGAGGGGCAAAUAUGAUGAGAACUACAUUGAUUCGGGGUCCACUUAUAUUGGGAGUAGUGCCUUUCCUCAGCCACAGUGUGUUAUAUGUGCAAAAGUACUAUCUAACAACUCAAUGAAACCUUCACUCUUGCGCAGUCAUUUAGAAAUAAAACAUGCCAGUUUGAAAAACAAGCCACGGGAGUUUACAGGGAGUCUCUGGAACUAUAUUUAAUGUGCGGGGACAAAACUGAGGCUAUGAUUAGGAAGUUGGAGCUCUUCUCUGUCUGCAUUAACAAGGACAACACGCAGGUCUUUCCAUCAUUGUAUGAUUUUUUUUGUGUGCAAAUGAACUCAAGCUUACAGACAAGGUCAAAUGUGAUAUAGCGAAGCACCUGAGUGAGUUGGGUGCGCAAUUACGCAGGUACUUUCCCGAAACUAAUGACACAAACAACUGGAUUCGUUAUCGCUUUCAUGCCCUGCCUCCAGUCCACUUACCGAUAUCUGAACAAGAGAGUCUCAUUGAAAUUGCAACAAGUGGUUCUGUGAAAAUGUAAUUUAAUCAGAAUCAACUGCCAGAUUUCUGGAUAGGGCUGCGCUCAGAGUAUCCUGCCUUGGCAAAUCGCACUGUUGAGACACUGAUGCCCUUUGCAACCACGUACCUAUGUGAGAGUGGAUUCUCGGCCCUCACUAGCAUGAAAACAAAAUACAGGCACAGACUGUGUGUGGAAAAUGAUUUAAGACUGAAACUCUCUCCAAUACAACCCAACAUUGCAGAGUUAUGUGCAUCCUUUCAAGCACACCCUUCUCAUUAACCUAUUGUUAUUCACAAUUUUCGAUGAACAAAUAAGGUUUUAUAUGUAAGAUGGCUAAAUAAAGAUCUAAAUGUUUGUUUAUUAUUAUAUUAUUAUUUGUGCCCUGGUCCUAUAAGAGUUCUUUGUCACUUCCCACGAGCCGGGUUUUGACAAAAACUCACACUCGUUCUACUGUUUAAUAAAUGUAUCGUAUAGUGUGUGUGUGACAGGCUUAUUACAAUGAUGGCAAAAAACAACAUUUGAGUGAUCUAACCCUGGUGCUAGAGGGGGUACAGCUGACCCUGGUGCUAGAGGAGGUACAUCUGACCCUGGUGCUAGAGGAGGUACAUCUGACCCUGGUGCUAGAUGGGGUACAGCUGACCCUGGUGCUAGAUGGGGUACAGCUGACCCUGGUGCUAGAGGGGGUACAGCUGACCCUGGUGCUAGAGGGGGUACAGCUGACCCUGGUGCUAGAGGGGGUACAGCUGACCCUGGUGCUAGAGGGGGGUUCGCAGCUGGAGAUUAAAUGUUUGAAGGAGUACGGGACUAUACAAAUCUUGGGAAUCACUCCUAUAGGGUAUUCUACACGGCAGGGUUUCUCCAACUCGGUCCUCGGGACCACCAAGGGGUACACAUCUUGUUUUGUUGCCCUAGCACUACACAGCUGAUUACAAAUAAUCAACUAAUCAUCAAGCUUUCAUUAUUUGAAUAAGCUGUGUAGUGAUAGGGAAACAAAACAAAACGUUGCACCCCUUGGUGGUCCAGAGGACAGAAUUUGGGAAAAGCUGCUACAGGGUGUUUAGGCCAGGGCUAUUAACCUCUGACCCUACGAGGUCCAGAGCCUGCUGCUUUUCUGUUCUACCUGAUCAUUAAUUACACCCACCUGGUGUCCCAGGUCUAAAUCGGUGACUGAUUAAGGGGAAGGAGGCUUAUUCUGGCUGGCUAACAGUAGACAACACUAGACAGGAGAAGAUACUCUCUAGGCUUCUGUAUGCCGGGCACACAGCCUACUACCACAAAUAGCUUUGCUCUGUUGCCAUUUCUGUUGUGGUUUGAGUUUCUGACUUGGCUGGAGAUACCCAUGAUAAAGGCAGACUUUUUAAAAUAAUAAUAGCAACUAAGACUUCUGUGUACUCUGCGGAGGUUGGGUGUAUUUGGAUCAAUUACAACAUAAUUUCCUUGGGUAAAACAUAACAUGCAUUUGGAUCAACUACAACAUCAUUUCCUUGGGUAAAACAUAACAUGCAUUUGGAUGAUCAAAGGCUUACUGUGUGUGCAGGUGUGGGUUUAGAGAGGACGUCAUUACUUUACAUACAUGACCUCUUUCCCUUGAUCUGACCCCCUUCUCAUCUCUCUCUGUCUCUGUCUCUCUGUCCCCUUUUCAUUUCUCUCUAUCUGACCCCCUUCUCAUCUCUCUCUGUCUCUCUUUCUAUCUCACCCCAUUCUCAUUUCUCUCUCUCUCUUUCUAUCUGUCCCCUUUUCAUCUCUCUCUUUCUCUCUGUCUCAAUCUGACCCCCUUCUCAUCUCUCUCUGUCUCUCUCUCUCUUUCUAUCUGACCCCCUUUUCAUCUCUCUCUUUCUCUCUGUCUCUCGAUCUGUCCCCUUCUCAUCUCUCUCUCUCUCUUUCUAUCUGUCCCCUUUUCAUCUCUCUCUUUCUCUCUGUCUCAAUCUGACCCCCUUCUCAUCUCUCUCUGUCUCUCUCUCUCUUUCUAUCUGACCCCCUUUUCAUCUCUCUCUUUCUCUCUGUCUCUCGAUCUGUCCCCUUCUCAUCUCUCUCUCUCUCUUUCUAUCUGUCCCCUUCUCAUUUCUCUCUCUCUCUUUCUAUCUGUCCCCUUUUCAUCUCUCUCUUUCUCUCUGUCUCAAUCUGACCCACUUCUCAUCUCUCUCUGUCUCUCUCUCUCUUUCUAUCUGACCCCCUUUUCAUCUCUCUCUUUCUCUCGAUCUGUCCCCUUCUCAUCUCUCUCUCUGUGCCCCCUCUACACAAUCUGGCCACUAAAUACCGAGUCCAGGGCCUUCAGCAGGGUCACCCAGUACAUGACUCAGAACCUGGCCAGCUCCUCUGGACACGCGGUGGAAAGGUACCAGUCUGCCCUUCAGACUGGAGAAGUGGCCCUGAGGGACACCUGUCUACAGUACCUGUCCUGGAACCUGUCCUCUGUACUGCAGAGUGAGGAGUGGACCACCGUCAGCAUCGACCUGCUCAUGACCCUGCAGCGUUUAGACCUCAUCUUGCAGGUACCAGUCUGCCCUUCAGACUGGAGAAGUGGCCCUGAGGGACACCUGUCUACAGUACCUGUCCUGGAACCUGUCCUCCGUACUGCAGAGUGAGGAGUGGACCACCGUCAGCAUCGACCUGCUCAUGACCCUGCAGUGUUUAGACCUCAUCUUGCAGGUACAGUAGGCCUACUCCUUGGUAGCCUGAUUGCAGAUCUGUUUACACUGUCUGACCGACUCCUUGUCAAUCAUUGUCACAUAAUUGUCUGCCUCAUCCCAGAUCUGUUUGUGUCGGCAAUACAGCACAAACAGACAUGGGAGCAGGCUAACUCCUGUGUAUUACUCCAUCUUAUCAUUAUGUACAGAACUAUUGAACCAUUUUGAACUUGUAUGUAUGUCUUUGCAAUGUGUAUAUAUACUGUAUUUAUUUCAUUACUUGUUACUUUUAUUUCUUAUUCUUAUUAUUUUGUUAUAACUGUAUUGUUGGUAAAGGACUUGUAAGUAGGCAUUUCACUGUAAGGUCUACCUACUGAAUACCUGUUGUAUUCAGCAUUUCACUGUAAGGUCUACUACACCUGUUGUAUUCAGCAUUUCACUGUAAGGUCUACUACACCUGUUGUAUUCAGCAUUUCACUGUGAGGUCUACUACACCUGUUGUAUUCAGCAUUUCACUGUAAGGUCUACAACACCUGUUGUAUUCAGCAUUUCACUGUAAGGUCUACAACACCUGUUCAGCAUUUCACUGUGAGGUCUACUACACCUGUUGUAUUCAGCAUUUCACUGUAAGAUCUACACCUGUUGUAUUCAGCAUUUCACUAUAAGGUCUACCAAUUUGUAAGUCGCUCUGGAUAAGAGCGUCUGCUAAAUGACUUAAAUGUAAAUGUAAAUGUACUACACCUGUUGUAUUCAGCAUUUCACUGUAAGGUCUACUACACCUGUUGUAUUCAGCAUUUCACUGUAAGGUCUACUACACCUGUUCAGCAUUUCACUGUAAGGUCUACUACACCUGUUCAGCAUUUCACUGUAGGGUCUACUACACCUGUUGUAUUAAGCGCAUGUGACUAAUAAACUUUGAUUUGAUUUAUGUA